UACCAUGAAAUCUGAACGCUUUUGGAUUUUUGCUAUACUUGUAGUUUUGCCCAACCAGCUGUUCUGAUUAAGACCCCUUGUAAGGACUGGGAUUUUUAAGAUCGUGAAAAAACAUCCUAAGAUAAGAUCAUGUGCUCAGAAGAUUCUUUCUACGGAUGACUAUUACAGUGGAAGAGUGCAUGAGUUAACAGGGCACUGCGAAGGGCUGAAGGGUAAUGGGAGCAAUAGCAAUGCAGAUGACGAGGGUUAUGCCUAUGUUAGAAAGGUUUCAUCAAAGAGAGUAUUUUCCACACCGGUAAAAAUGAGUACGCCUUUAACAUUGACAUUUUCGGACUUGGAGUACGGGAAAAGAACGCUGGAAGUUGUUACAGAUCUUAAUUUGCAGGAG